GGGGAUUAGUGGCGAACGGGUGAGUAACACGUGGGCAAUCUGCCCUGCACUCUGGGACAAGCCCUGGAAACGGGGUCUAAUACCGGAUACUGAUCCUCUUGGGCAUCUGCGCGGUUCGAAAGCUCCGGCGGUGCAGGAUGAGCCCGCGGCCUAUCAGCUUGUUGGUGAGGUAAUGGCUCACCAAGGCGACGACGGGUAGCCGGCCUGAGAGGGCGACCGGCCACACUGGGACUGAGACACGGCCCAGACUCCUACGGGAGGCAGCAGUGGGGAAUAUUGCACAAUGGGCGAAAGCCUGAUGCAGCGACGCCGCGUGAGGGAUGACGGCCUUCGGGUUGUAAACCUCUU
rnacentral:rRNA from 1 species